rnacentral:tRNA from 1 species
GGGCCCCUAGCUUACAUGAACUCUAACUGGAGUCCAUGGCUAAAAGUCUGGUUGGAGCACUCGGCUGAUAACCGAGCGGUCGUGAGUUCAAAUCUCACGGGGCCCA